rnacentral:lncRNA from 1 species
ACCAGCUGUCUGCAGACACACCAGUUCCCGCCCCCGACCACCGCGGUCAGGAAGCGGAAGUGGCGGGUGACCGGCGCCCGAAUCCCCGCCCCUCACGCCUUUGCAGGCCACUGGAAAUGUGGGAAUCCCGGAAGAGGCGGGCACAAGUCAACGGAGGGGCGGGACAGGGCGGUGUACUACACAGUGGCGGUUAAUUUGAGAUGGUUUCCUUAGUACCCCGCGUAUUUUGAGCCUGUGGGGACCUCUCCCGGUACCUGCCCAGUACCGUCUUAGUAGGAGUACGCUCCCGGGGCCUCGCCUUUGCAGGCCACUGGAAAUGUGGGAAUCCCGGAAGAGGCGGGCACAAGUCAACGGAGGGGCGGGACAGGGCGGUGUACUACACAGUGGCGGUUAAUUUGAGAUGGUUUCCUUAGUACCCCGCGUAUUUUGAGCCUGUGGGGACCUCUCCCGGUACCUGCCCAGUACCGUCUUAGUAGGAGUACGCUCCCGGGGCCUCAGCAGGCUUUUAUCAUCUGGUCCGGAACUCCCAGCGGNNNNNNNNNNNNNNNNNNNNNNNNNNNNNNNNNNNNNNNNNNNUUCAGCGCUUCUUCUCUUACUGGAUACCGAUAACGACGUAUUUGAACUUGGCCCAGGUCAGCCUGGUCCUUCCUAGAGCUAGGAGUCAUAGAUGCCAGGACGUAUGAGCCACUUCAAGAAGCAUCGCAAUAAGACAAAUUUGCCCCUGGCUUUAAACCCUAUGAAGAGCAAGGACGUGUUGGCGGUGCUGGCUGAGAGGAAUCAGGCUGUCGUACCAGUUGGGGCAUGGGUGGAACCUGCCUCACCAAAUAGCUCGGAAAUCCCAGCAUAUACUUCAGCAUGUAUAAUUGAAGAAGAACUAAAGGAACAGUCAAGAAGAAAAGAAGAAGCUUUGAAACAUUUUCAGAGACAAGUCAAACACCGAGUCAAUCAACAAAUUAGGCUGAGAAAAAAGCAACAGCUUCAGAAGUCUUAUGAAGCAGCAGAAAAAGAAGGUUCUAUAGCCAUGCGAUCUUUUGAUCCAGCACACUUAACUCCUAAAAGGACAAGUGUUUUUCCAAGCAAUUUGAAUGCUGCUUUUGGAAGUUCUAGGUUGCCUCCUUCCCAGAUGCUUAGGGAUGCAAUAGAAGAUGGAGAAAAUCAGAAUGGGUUGUUCCAACAAAAAGCCCAGGCUGGUUAUAAGUAUCGGUCAGGACUGAGCACUGAAUUCCAAGCUUCCCUGGCCAUUCAUUCUGGAGUAGAUCAAGAAGAAGAAAAGAAAGAGGUAUGUCAUAGUAUUACUUUGAAUAGUAGUAUUUCCACAAUGAUGAUAUAUAUGACAUUGGAAAGUUUUCUGUGUCUUAACAGAUUAACAGGUAAUACUACAAAUUCCUGACAAAUUGCUUGAGUCAUUAUAA